rnacentral:lncRNA from 1 species
AAAUUUGAAUAAGGGUCUCCAUAGGCUUGUGGCAAGAUCAAUUCUCCACUACUUUAAAGAAAUGAGAUGCAAAAAUCAUUAGGACUUUUAAUAAAGGUUGUAAUGGGGCUUAGGUAAAGGUGGGGAAUAAGGCUAAAAUGAGGCUAAAGAAAAUCAAGACAAGAGUUUCCCAACAAGUAACUAUAUCAUGUCCACAACCUUAGAAAGCAUAGGCAACAAGAAUAAGCAAACUAAACAAAGGUAGCUAUAAUGAACAAAUCAUCAAACUUUUUUUUAACUUUUUUUUUGUGGAACAUGAUCUCACAACCUUAAACUUAUGCUCUUUGUCUUGUCAAUGGUGGAAGAGAGGAAUAAAUGAAAAGGCUCGGGUUUAAAAUCUUGGUGAAAACAAAGAAAACAGGACUAGGCUUCAA